rnacentral:rRNA from 1 species
UGGGGAAUAUUGCACAAUGGGGGAAACCCUGAUGCAGCGACGCCGCGUGAGCGAUGAAGUAUUUCGGUAUGUAAAGCUCUAUCAGCAGGGAAGAUAAUGACGGUACCUGACUAAGAAGCUCCGGCUAAAUACGUGCCAGCAGCCGCGGUAAUACGUAUGGAGCAAGCGUUAUCCGGAUUUACUGGGUGUAAAGGGAGCGUAGGCGGUCCUGUAAGUCUGAUGUGAAAGCCCGGGGCUCAACCCCGGGACUGCAUUGGAAACUGUAGGACUAGAGUGUCGGAGGGGUAAGUGGAAUUCCUAGUGUAGCGGUGAAAUGCGUAGAUAUUAGGAGGAACACCAGUGGCGAAGGCGGCUUACUGGACGACCACUGACGCUGAGGCUCGAAAGCGUGGGGAGCAAACAGGAUUAGAUACCCUGGUAGU